rnacentral:rRNA from 1 species
GACGAACGCUGGCGGCGUGCUUAACACAUGCAAGUCGAGCGGUAAGGCCCUUUCGGGGGUACACGAGCGGCGAACGGGUGAGUAACACGUGGGUGACCUGCCCUCAGCUCUGGGAUAAGCCUGGGAAACCGGGUCUAAUACCGGAUAUGACUCCAUGACGCAUGUUGUGGGGUGAAAGCCUUGUGCGGCUGAGGAUGGGCCCGCGGCCUAUCAGCUUGUUGGUGGGGUGAUGGCCUACCAAGGCGACGACGGGUAGCCGGCCUGAGAGGGCGACCGGCCACACUGGGACUGAGACACGGCCCAGACUCCUACGGGAGGCAGCAGUGGGGAAUCUUGCGCAAUGGGCGAAAGCCUGACGCAGCGACGCCGCGUGAGGGAUGACGGCC